CCGCUUCCGCCCAUGCCAUUCGGCCAUUGGCAUUGUCUUCAAGCGGCGGUUAGAUGUUUGAAAUUAAGUAAUAGACACUGUAGGAAUUGUCUUGUGCUUGUGAAUAAUCCAGCAAUGAAGGACAAGUAGCUGGUGAAGUAAACUUAAACAAUAUUGUCUUUUCAGAAACAGUGGUUUGCUGAAAUAGCAAAAAUUGCAUUCUUCAGUCUAGACAUAAAAUUUCAGAUUUUUCUUCGCAGACUCUUUUGAGUUUUGACUUUUGACUACGGCUGACAUGGGAGCAAAUACUGGGUCUUUGUAAGACACAUCUUAAUACAAACUAUUUGUAAAAGACUGGCAGCCAGGAAGAAAUUGGUAGUGCAAUGCAAAACCGUUGCUGUCAGAGCGUAAGACAAUCAAAAGAUGAUGACCAGCUGCAGCACAAUAACUAGCAGCCCUUUGAAACUAAGUGUUUUACGAAGUAAAAAAGUGUUAUUCUACUGGCGGAUUACGCCUGUUCUCUUGAUCUGAUAGAAUAUUACAUCAUCAUGCUGAGCACCAUGGGGAUAGGAGAUCUCAUCUGCCGUUUAGUUAUAGGGCCACUCAUCACCGUUUGGAAAUUAGACGUCACGAAACUGUACGCCAUCUCGCAGAUUGCCUGCGCCAUAACAAUUGCUUCCUUUCCAACCGUGGUGAACGGCGUCCAGAUGAUUAUCCAAGGUUUCUUAUUCAGCGUGACUUUCGGCUGUCAACGUUUGUUUCUCGCUCUCGUUCCGCGUGCGCUUUUCGGAAGUGAAAAUUUGAAUCGGAUCUUUUUUGGUGUCUCCAUGUUUUUCGGAGGGAUUGGCAUUCUUAUUGGUCCACCGAUCGCAGGACUUAUUGUGGAUAUCACGCCAGGUCGCUCUUAUUGGUUGGCCUUUGUCUUCGCCUCUGUCAUGGAACUUUUAUCGGCGAUCGCUACAAUAGGCGCGCUGUUCUUCGCUAAUCGAAAAUGAAGUCUUUCCAAAAAUUGAAUAAUGUCCGGUUUGUUGAAAUUAAGUGAGAUUUAUUUUUUUCGUUAGUUAUUUCGACAUUCUCCACAUGUUAUGGACAAUUACAGAUUUUUUUCAAAAAUAGAUACUAGGAAUUUUGCGGCUAA